UAACAACAGAAUUCUCCGCUUAGUUAGCUCGCUAGCGUUGUUAGCAAACAACCGACUUGCGGAGAUUCAUAUACAGGUACCCGGCUCUUUUAAAUCAGCCGAUACUGGCUUUAUACUUUACGUAUAUCCAUGGAAAACUUGUCCUAACGUUUUCUCGUAGUCGACAACCGACUUUAUUUUGUGGAUUAAUGUGGACAUAAAAAAAGUGGACAACUCCAGUUGGUCUGUGGCUAAGUUAGUUAGCUAGCUAACUGUAGCGCAGACGCUAGCGUGACUAACGUGACGUCCGCAGGAGAACAUUGUGACUUAGAGGAAGGAAGGGAGGAAAGUGAUAAGUAGGAUCACUGCGCACCUCUGCUUAUGCAAAGCUAGCAUAUUUUUUGGUGUCCUGAGUUCUCGCAUUGUGACGCAUUAGGAAAAGGUGACUGUCUGUGCAGCCGGUGUGGCAUUUAACAGUACUUGGUUAAUAAGAUUGCUGUGAGUUGGCAUAGCUAGCUGUCAACAACAACAGCCCUCUUGGCUAGCUGUAUAGCGGACAAGAGCUAGCACGCUAGCCACAAACUUUUAAAGAAGUUGUGUAAGUCCGAUCCAGCUAUCUUUGGCUGAUUUGGGUUAAACGGCAAACCGGUGUUUUAGCUUUUCACUGUCGGGACUAUUUUGCUCCGAUCCGCUCUAGAAGUAGGGCGACAGGAGAAACUCAUGGCAUCGGAUGUGAUUGAGAGUGAAGCGGUGCUGAAGGGUGUAAGUGAUAUGAAUUUGAACAAUAGCAGCUCAGAUUUUGUCACACCCAGGAGGACUCAUGAGGAGCUGGGAAACAGACACACGUCUAGUCCCUCGUCUUCUGGAGUGUCAGGAGAAGGCGACGACGAGGAAAUAGACGACUUAGAAAAUAGCACAGCUUCCACAGUUGAAAAUGGCGAAGAGGCACUUCAAGAGAGUCUUACCAAAACAAGAGGUACGCCACAGGAAAGGACAACUCCAGACAAUGAGCUGAAACAGCCCGGAGCAAGAAGUUCUACCCCAGUGAGCCUGCCCCAGCCACGCUCGCCACCUGGACCCCUUGGAAGCCUGGAGCGACAAGAGUCAGUCGCCACAACAGAAGCUCGCUUAAGAAUGGAGGGUGUUGAACUUAAGGAAGAGUGGCAAGAUGAAGACUUUCCACGGCCCUUACCGGAAGAAGAGGAGCUUGAAGAUGAGCUUUUUGCCGGAACCUCUGAAGAGAUAGACCCUGGUUAUGCAAUGGAUCAUGGCAAGAAGGCAAAGAAGAAGCUUGCAGCUCCGGACAUCAGUUUAACACUGGACCGCAGCGAAGGUUCUCUUCUCUCUGAUGAGCUGGAUGAAAGUACAGAGCUGGACCUCGAUGACAUAGACACACCUUCAGACAACAGCAAUGAGUUUGAAUGGGAAGAUGAUCUCCCCAAGCCGAAAACCACAGAACUUCUACAGAAGGGCGUGGAGUCAGUGCAGGAGUACGCUGCCUCGGAUGAGAGGGAGGAGGGUCGACGCUGGAGGGUGUUUCGUAUUGGAGACCAGGAACACAGAGUGGACAUGAAGGCCAUUGAACCUUACAAGAGAGUUAUUAGCCAUGGAGGUUACUAUGGAGACGGCUUGAAUGCCAUAAUUGUGUUCGCUGUGUGCUUUAUGCCUGAAAGCAAUCAACCAAAUUACAGAUACAUCAUGGACAAUUUAUUCAAGUAUGUCAUCGGCACGCUGGAGCUUUUGGUUGCCGAGAACUAUAUGAUUGUGUAUUUGAAUGGAGCAACCUCUCGGAAAAAGAUGCCCACUGUCGGCUGGCUCAGAAAGUGUUAUCAGCAGAUUGAUAGGAGGUUAAGGAAGAACUUGAAGUCUUUGAUAAUUGUACAUCCCUCUUGGUUUAUUCGCACCCUGCUGGCACUCACAAAACCUUUCAUAAGCUCCAAAUUUAGUCAGAAAAUCAAGUAUGUGUUCAGCUUGACAGACCUUGCAGAACUGGUUCCGAUGGAGUAUGUGUCCAUACCAGAUUGUAUCAAACAGUUUGACGACGAAAAAAAUAAGAAAAGCUGUAAAAGGUAUAUGCACUUUCACCCAGGGUCAGUCUGUCAGCAUUCUGUUAUUCUUGCAUUUCACAAAACUAACAACAAAAUGAUCUGUUGGCUUUCAGAAAUGCACCAAUACACCUCAUUCUCUGCCGCGUGUUUGUAGUCUGAUGAUUUGCUUUUGCCUUCUGGCCAAAAUUAACAACUUUGCUCCCCAAACGUCCCACAUUUCCCUCCCGGCAGAUUCAGAACAUUCCCUUAAAAGCAGGCUGAGAAGCUGUCUGAUUGAUUUCCAAAAAUAGGUGCCUUGGUGAUUGUUUAACCAACUAAAUCCCAUUUCUGAGCCAAUUUUGUAAAGUUUAAUGAAGUUUAACCAGGUACAGCCAAUUCUUGUGAAAGGUUUUUUUUUUUAAUUAUUGCUUUAAAGUAACAUCAGCUGUCUGUAUGUGGUUUAAAAUGUUCAAUGUGAUAAUCACUACUGGAUUUUAUGUCAACAACAAGUUAGAGCAGUUUUGAGGUAAAUAAUUGCAUUUCUGCUUUCUGAUAUUAAAGUUGAGGCAUCAAGUAGCACUUACAUGCAUGUCUUUUUAAAAAAACAGGUUUGGAUUUUAAUGUGGUUUAUGUUGGAAUCGACCAGGACAUGCAUGGCAAAGUGGAGAUCGCAGCUGCUGCUGUUCCAGAGUGACCCUGCAACAUGUGGAGGAGGAGAUCUUAUGUUUGUGUUCUGGGGGCAACGUGACUGAAGACUAAAGCUCUGCGCAUCAACAAAGUGCCUUUCUGAAACUAUGCUGCCUGUUACAUCGUGGGACUUUUUACAACUUGAUCUUUUUUCCACAUGCUGUCUGAAACCUUGAUCUUUUUUUCCUUUUUUUAAUUUACUGCCUAUAUAUCAUGUCAAAGUUAGCUUAUUGGUGUUUCCUAGUUACUGGUGUAUCUACACGUUAUUUAAGGCACUCUGUUACAAAUGGUUGAUGCAUGUUCUGCUUUAUUACAUUUAAAUAUAUAUUUAUAUUCAAAGGGUGACAAAGGAGAGAAAUUAAUAUAUUUUUAUGGUUGCUCUGAUUUUUAAACUGCAUUUUAGGUCACUGACCCAUAAAGUGGCAUUUUCAUAGAACAAGUUUUGACAGCACCUUUUUUCACUGUUCACUGCUGAUGUUCUCUAUCAAAAUCCUGCCUGGGGAAAAUAAAGUUUUAUUUUUUGUCCCUCACUUGAAUGUGCCCUCUGACUUAUGGAGGGAGAACAUUUUGUGAGAACAACAAUCUGAAACGAAGAUGUAGGUCUUAAUGUAACAAUUCCUCCAAGUAAAGUCAUUGAA